rnacentral:rRNA from 1 species
AACCUACCUAUAAGACUGGGAUAACUUCGGGAAACCGGAGCUAAUACCGGAUAACAUAUUGAACCGCAUGGUUCAAUAGUGAAAGGCGGCUUUGCUGUCACUUAUAGAUGGAUCCGCGCCGUUUUAGCUAGUUGGUAAGGUAACGGCUUACCAAGGCAACGAUACGUAGCCGACCUGAGAGGGUGAUCGGCCACACUGGAACUGAGACACGGUCCAGACUCCUACGGGAGGCAGCAGUAGGGAAUCUUCCGCAAUGGGCGAAAGCCUGACGGGGCAACGCCGCGUGAGUGAUGAAGGUCUUCGGAUCGUAAAACUCUGUUAUCAGGGAAGAACAAAUGUGUAAGUAACUGUGCACAUCUUGACGGUACCUGAUCAGAAAGCCACGGCUAACUACGUGCCAGCAGCCGCGGUAAUACGUAGGUGGCAAGCGUUAUCCGGAAUUAUUGGGCGUAAAGCGCGCGUUGGCGGUUUUUUAAGUCUGAUGUGAAAGCCCACGGCUCAACCGUGGAGGGUCAUUGGAAACUGGAAAACUUGAGUGCAGAAGAGGAAAGUGGAAUUCCAUGUGUAGCGGUGAAAUGCGCAGAGAUAUGGAGGAACACCAGUGGCGAAGGCGACUUUCUGGUCUGUAACUGACGCUGAUGUGCGAAAGCGUGGGGAUCAAACAGGAUUAGAUACCCUGGUAGUCCACGCCGUAAACGAUGAGUGCUAAGUGUUAGGGGGUUUCCGCCCCUUAGUGCUGCAGCUAACGCAUUAAGCACUCCGCCUGGGGAGUACGACCGCAAGGUUGAAACUCAAAGGAAUUGACGGGGACCCGCACAAGCGGUGGAGCAUGUGGUUUAA